rnacentral:misc_RNA from 1 species
GCUUCAGCAUGUUCCUUGCACUUCGCCUCUGAUGUGGUACAGAUGAAUGUUUGCAUACAUACCUUGCACUGAAUAGACAUCGCUUUCUUGUUGGAAUCCAGUUGGCUCCCUUUGGCGGCGUUCUUCUGCUUCUCCAAGUUGCGCUCGCGCGCCGUCUUCGAUUUCUGCGCGUUGCCGCCCCCCAUCGGAGAUCUCGGUCUAGGGUUUGGUUCUGUUCGGUGGUGGAGA